AACGAACGCUGGCGGCGCGCCUAAUACAUGCAAGUCGAGCGAGAAGACGUAGCAAUACGUUUGUAAAGCGGCGAACGGGUGAGGAAUACAUGGGUAACCUACCCUCGAGUGGGGAAUAACUAGCCGAAAGGUUAGCUAAUACCGCGUACGCUCCUUGGACUUCGGUUCAGGGAGGAAAGCGAUACCGUGGGUAUCGCGCUCUUGGAUGGGCUCAUGUCCUAUCAGCUUGUUGGUGAGGUAACGGCUCACCAAGGCUUCGACGGGUAGCUGGUCUGAGAGGACGAUCAGCCACACUGGCACUGCGACACGGGCCAGACUCCUACGGGAGGCAGCAGUAAGGAAUAUUGCGCAAUGGGCAAAGCCUGACGCAGCGACGCCGCGUGGGGGAUGAAGGUCUCGGAUUGUAAACCCCUUUCGGGAGGGAAGAUGGAACGAGCAAUCGUUCGGACGGGUACCUCCAGAAGCAGCCACGGCUAACUUCGUGCCAGCCGCCGCCGUAAC
rnacentral:rRNA from 1 species